CCUACGGGGGGCAGCAGUGAGGAAUAUUGGUCAAUGGGAGAGAUCCUGAACCAGCCAAGCCGCGUGAGGGAAGACGGCCCUAUGGGUUGUAAACCUCUUUUGUCGGAGAACAAAACACGGGACGUGUCCCGGACUGCGUGUAUCCGAAGAGAACGCAUCGGCUGACUCCGUGCCAGCGGCAUCGGUAAUACGGAGCAUGCGAGCGUUAUCCGUAUUGAUUGGGUUUAUAGGGUGCGUGGGCGGUCCGUUGAGUCAGCGGUAAAAUUGCGGGGCUCAACCCCGUCGAGCCGUUGAAACUGGAAGACGUGAGUUGGCGAGAAGAACGCGGGAUGCGCGGUGUAGCGGUGAAAUGCAUAGAUAUCGCGCAGAACUCCGAUUGCGAAGGCAGCGUACCGGCGCCAGACUGACGCUGAGGCACGAAAGCGUGGGGAUCGAACAGGAUUAGAUACCCUUGUAGUC
rnacentral:rRNA from 1 species